rnacentral:rRNA from 1 species
UGAAGAGUUUGAUCAUGGCUCAGAUUGAACGCUGGCGGCAGGCCUAACACAUGCAAGUCGAACGGUAACAGGAAGCAGCUUGCUGCUUUGCUGACGAGUGGCGGACGGGUGAGUAAUGUCUGGGAAACUGCCUGAUGGAGGGGGAUAACUACUGGAAACGGUGGCUAAUACCGCAUAACGUCGCAAGACCAAAGAGGGGGACCUUCGGGCCUCUUGCCAUCAGAUGUGCCCAGAUGGGAUUAGCUUGUUGGUGAGGUAACGGCUCACCAAGGCGACGAUCCCUAGCUGGUCUGAGAGGAUGACCAGCCACACUGGAACUGAGACACGGUCCAGACUCCUACGGGAGGCAGCAGUGGGGAAUAUUGCACAAUGGGCGCAAGCCUGAUGCAGCCAUGCCGCGUGUAUGAAGAAGGCCUUCGGGUUGUAAAGUACUUUCAGCGGGGAGGAAGGUGUUGUGGUUAAUAACCGCAGCAAUUGACGUUACCCGCAGAAGAAGCACCGGCUAACUCCGUGCCAGCAGCCGCGGUAAUACGGAGGGUGCAAGCGUUAAUCGGAAUUACUGGGCGUAAAGCGCACGCAGGCGGUCUGUCAAGUCGGAUGUGAAAUCCCCGGGCUCAACCUGGGAACUGCAUUCGAAACUGGCAGGCUUGAGUCUUGUAGAGGGGGGUAGAAUUCCAGGUGUAGCGGUGAAAUGCGUAGAGAUCUGGAGGAAUACCGGUGGCGAAGGCGGCCCCCUGGACAAAGACUGACGCUCAGGUGC